rnacentral:rRNA from 1 species
GUCCACGCCCUAAACGAUGAACACUAGUUGUUGGAGGUCUCGACCCCUUCAGCGACGAAGCUAACGCAUUAAGUGUUCCGCCUGGGUAGUACGAUCGCAAGAUUAAAACUCAAAGGAAUAGACGGGGACCCACACAAGCGGUGGAGCAUCUGGUUUAAUUCGACAAUAAGCGAAGAACCUCACCAAGACUUGACAUCCCGGGAAGUCUGCCGAAAGGUGGAUGUGCCGUAAGGAACCCGGAGACAGGUGCUGCAUGGUUGUCGU